CAGGAGGGACCACCCUCCAAGGCUAAAUACUACCUAGUGACCGAUAGCGUAUAGUACCGUGAGGGAAAGGUGAAAAGAACCCCGGGAGGGGAGUGAAAUAGAACCUGAAACCCUGCACUUACAAGCUGUGGAAGCACAUUUCUUGUGUGACCGCGUACUUUUUGUAGAACGGGCCAACGAGUUACGUUAAGUAGCAAGGUUAAGCACUUAAGGUGCGGAGCCGUAGCGAAAGCGAGUUUUAACUGAGCGUUCAGUUACUUGACGUAGACCCGAAACCGGGCGACCUACCCAUGAGCAGGAUGAAGCGAAAGUAAAAUUUCGUGGAGGUCCGAACCCACGAGCGUUGAAAAGCUCGGGGAUGACUUGUGGGUAGCGGUGAAAUUCCAAUCGAGCCCGGAGAUAGCUGGUUCUCCCCGAAAUAGCUUUAGGGCUAGCCUCAAGGUGAGAGAUACGGAGGUAGAGCACUGAAUGUCCUAGGGGGUAUUGCACCUACCGAAGACUAUCAAACUCCGAAUGCCGUCAUCUUAUACUUGGGAGUCAGACUGUGGGUGAUAAGAUUCAUAGUCGAAAGGGCAACAGCCCAGAUCGUCAGCUAAGGUCCCUAAAUGUAAGUUAAGUGGUAAAGGAUGUGGGAUUGCACAGACAACCAGGAUGUUGGCUUAGAAGCAGCCACUCAUUCAAAGAGUGCGUAAUAGCUCACUGGUCGAGUGAUCCUGCGCCGAAGAUUUCCGGGGCUAAAACUUACUACCGAAGCUACGGCAUCAGUAAUGAUGGGUAGGGGAGCUUCCCAUACGGGUUGAAGCAUGACCGUAAGGACAUGUGGACAGUAUGGGAGUGAGAAUGUUGGCAUGAGUAGCGAGAUGUGGGUGAGAAUCCCACAGGCCGUAAACCCAAGGUUUCCAGGGGAAGGUUCGUCCGCCCUGGGUUAGUCGGGACCUAAGCUGAGGCCGAAAGGCGUAGGUGAUGGACAACAGGUUGAUAUUCCUGUACUACCGAUAACCGUUUGAGAGAAGGGAUGACACAGUAGGAUAAGCUAAGCACACUGUUGGUUAUGUGUGCCCAAGCAUUGAGGCAGUCAAAGUAGGCAAAUCCGCUUUGAUAAUGCUGGGAUGUGAUGGGGAGCGAAAUUUAGUAGCGAAGUAGCUGAUUUCACACUGUCAAGAAAAGUCUCUAUCGAGGUUAAAGGUACCCGUACCGCAAACCGACACAGGUGGGUGAGGAGAGUAUCCUAAGGCCAGCGAGAGAACUGUUGUUAAGGAACUCGGCAAAAUGACCCCGUAACUUAGGGAUAAGGGGUGCCACCAUCAGGUGGCCGCAGAGAAUAGGCCCAAGCGACUGUUUACCAAAAACAUAGGUUUCUGCUAAGUCGCAAGACGAUGUAUAGGAGCUGACGCCUGCCCGGUGCUGGAAGGUUAAGGGGAUCUGUUAGAGCAAUCGAAGCAGUGAACUUAAGCCCCAGUAAACGGCGGCCGUAACUAUAACGGUCCUAAGGUAGCGAAAUUCCUUGUCGGGUAAGUUCCGACCCGCACGAAAGGCGUAACGAUUUGGGCACUGUCUCAACAACAGACUCGGUGAAAUUGUAAUUCCGGUGAAGAUGCCGGAUACCUGCGACAGGACGGAAAGACCCCAUGGAGCUUUACUGUAGCUUGACAUUGGGUCUUGGUACUACAUGUACAGGAUAGGUGGGAGGCUUUGAAACCAGGACGCCAGUUUUGGCGGAGCCAUCCUUGGGAUACCACCCUUGUAGUACUGGGACUCUAACCAUAGGCCAUGAAUCUGGUCUUGGGACACUGUCAGGUGGGCAGUUUGACUGGGGCGGUCGCCUCCCAAAAGGUAACGGAGGCGCUCAAAGGUUCUCUCAGUACGGUCGGAAAU
rnacentral:rRNA from 1 species